rnacentral:rRNA from 1 species
CCUACGGGAGGCAGCAGUGGGGAAUCUUGCGCAAUGGGCGAAAGCCUGACGCAGCAACGCCGCGUGCGGGAAGAAGGCUUUCGGGCUGUAAACCGCUUUCAGCAGGAACGAAAAUGACGGUACCUGCAGAAGAAGGAGCGGCCAACUAUGUGCCAGCAGCCGCGGUGAUACAUAGGCUUCAAGCGUUGUCCGGAUUUAUUGGGCGUAAAGAGUUCGUAGGCGGUCGAGUAAGUCGGGUGUGAAAAUUCUGGGCUCAACCCAGAGACGCCACCCGAUACUGCUUAACUUGAGUUCGAUAGGGGAGUGGGGAAUUCCUAGUGUAGCGGUGAAAUGCGCAGAUAUUAGGAGGAACACCGGUGGCGAAGGCGCCACUCUGGAUCGAUACUGACGCUGAGGAACGAAAGCAUGGGUAGCAAACAGGAUUAGAUACCCUGGUAGUCCAUGCCGUAAACGGUGGGCACUAGGUGUGGGAUUCUAUUAACGAAUUCCGCGCCGUCGCUAACGCAUUAAGUGCCCCGCCUGGGGAGUACGGUCGCAAGCUUAAAACCNCGAAAGGAAUUGACGGCUUGAGAGUUGCGACGCGACGACGAGGGAGAGG